rnacentral:misc_RNA from 1 species
CCACAAUUCCGCAGGGGCUAGUUUUUGCCUCACUUUCCCCGCAACCAAACAACUUGAUCAUCUCUCUCAGGUCAGGUUACUUUAUUUUCACAGCACCUAAAGAUUCCCUUCCUUUCUAUACACUCACACACCAGUCGCCUCUUCAACCAUACAAACCCCUUUCCAUUGAAAGAAAAAACACCAUGAAACCUCCCUAAAAGAACUAACGCACCCAGAUCAAAUCCGAACCCACUAUGGAUUUCGUGGAGCUGGAGGCGAUCGAGGGACUGCGUUGGUCCUGGAACGCAUGGCCCACGACAAGAAAAGAAGUAACGUCCCUCAUAAUUCCACUUAGCAUCAUGUGCACGCCACUGAUGCAAUCUUCGGAGCUCCCAAUUCUCCCCUACGAACCCCUUACCUGUACUCGGUGCGGUGCUGUCUUAAACCCC